ensembl:lncRNA
AAGUAAUAAGUUAUCAUUGAAAUACAUAAAGUAACUAACUUAGUAGUAAGAAUGAUGUGAAAGUAUAUGGCCACUACAGAAAUCCACUUAGGCAUAUCUGUCAAAAUAGUGAAGAUUAAAAAGGAAUUAGGCUACCAAAUGCAGAUCACAAUACAGAGAAAAUGAACACUCUCUGCAUAGUAGGUGGAAACACAAUGGGGUGUAACUCUGUUGUGAAACAGUUCAGGAGUACAUAAGCAGAACAUGAAACUUCUCAUAUCUUCGACUUAGUAAAUCUGUAUCUAUGAGUCUAGUACCCUAAGAUAAACCCACAUCCAGCGAAACCUUUAUACACAGAUAUUCACUGCAGCAUUAUUUAUAAUGUUGAAAAUUAUAAGCAACUAAUGUCCCAAAUUGGAGAAAAAUUGAUAAAUGAUGAUGCCAUUACAACAUAAUGUAAACUACAGGAUCACUAUAUAAUGGAGUUGAAUGAAGGUAUAAAAUGGAAUAAAGAUGGCUAUCGGUUGCCAUUAGGUGGUCUGUUGGACAUGGCAUUAAUUGAAGAAAGCAAGGUGUUGGAAAUGUGUAUAGUAAGUUAACUCUUGGAACUACAGAUAUAUGUACAUAUUUUCUGAUAAUUUUCCAAACGAAACAAUGGAAAAAUAAAGCAAGAAGUAACAAAAGUAGUUUCCUAAAGGUGGAGGUAGGCAAUGUGGAACACACAAAGGUGAAAGCUAGAACCCUCUGAAUGUAUCUUGCUUUAUAUUUUUGCUAUGUGUAAAAGAUGACCCCAAGAAUCCCCACCUCCUGGCAUUUACACCUUUGUGAUGUCCCCUCUGACACUGUACCAGGGUUGAUCUGUGAGACCAACAGAAUUUGGCAGAAGUUACAUCCGUUUUGUGUGUGGGAAGAAAAGAAACAGAAUUUGACAGAAAUGAUGGCCCUGGCUAGAACUGCAAGUACAAUGUUGAACAGAAUUGGUGAGAGUGGACAUCCUUGUUAAAGGUGCAUUUUUGAUAAGACCAGUGUUCAACACUUUCCAAUCCUGACGUUGGGCAAUUCAUUUACCCUUUCUGUUUCCUUAUCUAAAAUCGAAGAUAGCAGCCUACAGUGUACAUGGGUGGUCAUGUCUACUUUUUAGGAGCUCAUAAGCUAGUGGGGAAGCAAAUGAUUCAUGGAAAUAAUUAUAAAAACAAGAUAACAUAUGCUAAGAGUUAUUAGGGCUGUGAAUGAUGUAUCUUGGAUACCCUAUUAGAUAAUUUUGUGGUGAAACAUUUGUAAACAGUCUAGUGCUAAAUAAACGGUUUAAAAAUUUAAGAUACCAAUAACUUGCUUUCACUGUUACCUAAAUUAGUUUGGUUCCAUUUUUAAGUCUUUUAUUACAAACUGAUAUAAUCAUAACUAAAUUCAACCCUGUUCUCUAUAAAAUUUAAUAGAUCUCAUUUUGUAGGGCUUUACUAUGAUUUUGCAGGCCAUUUGAUGUCCGCAGGCAUUUUUUAAGUCAAAAGGAAAUCUGUAAAUUAGGAACUGUUAAUUUCCUCUUCAUUUCCUAGGUAGACUGUAUAGAAUUGUUCCAAGCACCCCAUUAAUUUGAGAUUAGCCUGAUAAGUUUUUCCUAUGCCUGCACUUUGGAAUAUAAACAUGUAGAAAAUAGUCCAUGACACAGCGGAUGGGUUCAUAAGUUCCUUCCUGGUUUUAACACCGAAUCGUGCUGAUGAUCUGGCAAUGGAGGCUAAUCUUGCCACAUCCAGUACGCCUAUUCGCUAAGCCGUCUGGGGCACUGUAUAAUUUUUUUCUUUGCUGGUGUGUUUGAAGGGCUCCUAUGGCCAAAAAGGUGGUCGGUUCCGUCAUUUAGGCUGUGAGGACGCCUAAACGCUUUGAGGUACUGAUGCUGCAGGAUCGUGUGAAAGAGUUUCUCAGAGCACCUCCCUCGCGGGGUGGAGAAAAGGCCCUCAUUCCCCACGCCCCCUCCUUCCGCUGCGGGAGAUAGCCACACCUUCCUCCUAUCGGCGCCGAGCAGGUGGCCAGGCCCUCCGGACCUCGCGCCCCCGCAGCCCAGUGGUUCGGCCAGCUCGUGCGUCACGUGACGCGGGUCAGCUGCGCCGCCAGGACCUCCAGGCACCGGGGCGGCGACCGCCCAGCGCGUGGUCUGGGGAUCUCAUCUUUCGGUGCCCCUCCCCCCACGAUCCCGGAAAAGGGGGAGGCCGGUUACGUCAUCAUCCGGGUUCUUGCUGACGCGGCCACUGUUCACAAUGGAACAAAAACAGCGGCUCCAGUCAAAUUGUGAGCUACGGGGCUGCGGUUCACACGUUUAACUCCGUUGUGGCCACACGCCCCGCCAGUCCCUGCUGCCCAGCCCAAUCGGCGUGGUGUGCUAGUUCUUCUUGGGUCUCCCUUCCCUCUGCCCUCGUCCCGCUCUUGAGCUGAGGGGCAUGGAACAGGAUUUCUGGCCGUAGCACGACCCUGGAGGGGCCAGCCGAAAGAAACGGUACUGCGCGAACGAUCUUUACCGCAUUGUCUUCCCUUCCCCCAUCCUAGCUCUCCGGGUUCCAGGCGUCUCGCGCCAUAGCCCAGCCCCCUCGGCGACUCGCGCUGCGCUCUCAGCCUCGACGGCCCGGGGAGGAGGGGCAGAAGAGGGGGCAGCUGAGCGGAAGGGGGCUGGGCAGGAGCAGGGGGAGGGCAGAGAGGAGGGGCCUCAAGGGGGCGGGCCCUCAAGGGGGCGGAGAAACUCGGGUCUUGGGCGGUGCUGGGGCAAGUGGGAGUCUGCGCUGCUGCCGCCGCCACCCCUACCGCCGCCGCCGCCACCCCUGCCGCUGCCGCCGCUACCGCCACCGCCACUGGCCGAGCGGGUUUUUUUUUUUUUUGGUU